rnacentral:rRNA from 1 species
CCUACGGGUGACAGCAGUGAGGAAUAUUGGUCAAUGGGCUUACGCCUGAACCAGCCAAGUCGCGUGAGGGAAGACUGCCCUAUGGGUUGUAAACCUCUUUUGUCAGGGAGCAAUUGGCGCUACGUGUAGCGUUAUCGAGAGUACCUGAAGAAAAAGCAUCGGCUAACUCCGUGCCAGCAGCCGCGGUAAUACGGAGGAUGCGAGCGUUAUCCGGAUUUAUUGGGUUUAAAGGGUGCGUAGGCGGAAUGCCAAGUCAGCGGUAAAAUCGCGGGGCUAAACCUCGCUCCGCCGUUGAAACUGGCGGUCUUGAGUGGGCGAGAGGUAUGCGGAAUGCGUGGUGUAGCGGUGAAAUGCAUAGAUAUCACGCAGAACUCCGAUUGCGAAGGCAGCAUACCGGCGCCCAACUGACGCUGAAGCACGAAAGCGUGGGUAUCGAACAGGAUUAGAUACCCCAGUAGUC